rnacentral:rRNA from 1 species
UACGUAGGGGUGCGAGCGUUGUCCGGAAUUAUUGGGCGUAAAGAGCUCGUAGGCGGUCUGUCGCGAUCUGCUGUGAAAUCCCGAGGCUCAACCUCGGGCCUGCAGUGGGUACGGGCAGACUAGAGUGGCGGUAGGGGAGAUUGGAAUUCCUGGUGUAGCGGUGGAAUGCGCAGAUAGUCAGGAGGAACACCAAGUGGCGAAGGCAGAUCUCUGGGCCGUAACUGACGCUGGAGGAGCGAAAGCGUGGGGAGCAAACAGG